GUUGUCGUCAGCUCGUGUCGUGAGAUGUUGGGUUAAGUCCCGCAACGAGCGCAACCCUUAAGCUUAGUUGCCAUCAUUAAGUUGGGCACUCUAAGUUGACUGCCGGUGACAAACCGGAGGAAGGUGGGGAUGACGUCAAAUCAUCAUGCCCCUUAUGAUUUGGGCUACACACGUGCUACAAUGGACAAUACAAAGGGCAGCGAAACCGCGAGGUCAAGCAAAUCCCAUAAAGUUGUUCUCAGUUCGGAUUGUAGUCUGCAACUCGACUACAUGAAGCUGGAAUCGCUAGUAAUCGUAGAUCAGCAUGCUACGGUGAAUACGUUCCCGGGUCUUGUACACACCGCCCGUCACACCACGAGAGUUUGUAACACCCGAAGCCGGUGGAGUAACCUUUUAGGAGCUAGCCGUCGAAGGUGGGACAAAUGAUUGGGGUGAAGUCGUAACAAGGUAGCCGUAUCGGAAGGUGCGGCUGGAUCACC
rnacentral:rRNA from 1 species